rnacentral:rRNA from 1 species
GACGAACCACACGAACGUUAUUCGGAAUCACUGGGCUUAAAGGGUGCGUAGGCUGCGCAGCAAGUUGGGUGUGAAAUCCCUCGGCUCAACCGAGGAACUGCGCCCAAAACUGCUGUGCUCGAGGGAGACAGAGGUGAGCGGAACUUAGGGUGGAGCGGUGAAAUGCGUUGAUAUCCUAAGGAACACCCGUGGCGAAAGCGGCUCACUGGGUCUCUUCUGACGCUGAGGCGCGAAAGCUAGGGGAGCAAACAGGG